CCUACGGGUCGCACCAGUGGGGAAUAUUGCACAAUGGGCGCAAGCCUGAUGCAGCCAUGCCGCGUGUAUGAAGAAGGCCUUAGGGUUGUAAAGUACUUUCAGUUGGGAGGAAGGCGUUGAUGCUAAUAUCAUCAGCGAUUGACGUUACCAACAGAAGAAGCACCGGCUAACUCCGUGCCAGCAGCCGCGGUAAUACGGAGGGUGCAAGCGUUAAUCGGAAUUACUGGGCGUAAAGCGCACGCAGGCGGUUGAUUAAGUUAGAUGUGAAAUCCCCGGGCUUAACCUGGGAAUGGCAUCUAAGACUGGUCAGCUAGAGUCUUGUAGAGGGGGGUAGAAUUCCAUGUGUAGCGGUGAAAUGCGUAGAGAUGUGGAGGAACACCAGUGGCGAAGGCGGCUCUCUGGUCUGUAACUGACGCUGAGGCGCGAAAGCGUGGGGAGCAAACAGGAUUAGAUACCCCCGUAGUC
rnacentral:rRNA from 1 species